rnacentral:rRNA from 1 species
UAGGGAAUCUUCCGCAAUGGACGCAAGUCUGACGGAGCAACGCCGCGUGAGUGAAGAAGGAUUUCGGUUCGUAAAACUCUGUUGUUAGAGAAGAACAGCGCAUAGAGUAACUGUUAUGCGUGUGACGGUAUCUAACCAGAAAGCCACGGCUAACUACGUGCCAGCAGCCGCGGUAAUACGUAGGUGGCAAGCGUUGUCCGGAUUUAUUGGGCGUAAAGCGAGCGCAGGCGGUCAAUUAAGUCUGAUGUGAAAGCCCCCGGCUCAACCGGGGAGGGUCAUUGGAAACUGGUUGACUUGAGUGCAGAAUAGGAGAGUGGAAUUCCAUGUGUAGCGGUGAAAUGCGUAGAUAUAUGGAGGAACACCGGUGGCGAAGGCGACUCUCUGGACUGUAACUGACGCUGAGGUUCGAAAGCGUGGGUAGCAAACAGG